CCGACACGAUGUAGGGCGGGUCGUGCACGGAGAGCACCCAGGGUACCAGGUCUCACCGUUGGUGUGGUGGCAGAACGGGCAAAGGAGGGUGGAGGUUUGGCCCCUCCCGGAACUCGAACUGUGAAACUCCGGUCCGAGAGUGACGGAGCAACGAAGGAGGGACUUCUGCUGGCUGGACGUACUACAGCGUCUCGAGGUGGAGGCGUUCUAUGACCAGUCAUCUCAGUCUGGUGACCUGCGACCCUGCGGUGUUGGGCGGACUGGUGACAUAGUGCUCGCGGCUGGAGAACAAGGAAAUCGACCAGGCUCGCCGCGCUGCACCCGCCACCCGCCCAGCUGCCGCCGUGCCCGCACCAGAGUGCCCGCAGCGCCUCAAUGUUCUGGACAACGCGGCGCUGAUGGUCCCUCGCAGACUCAGGAUGACCAAGUGAUCGCCUCCCAGGGCGUGGCGUGGGCUACUCCAAGAGGAGGAAGAAGAAGCCGCUGACUCCAUGCGCAGUUUGCCAAAGACCCGCGGCAGGCCAAGGCAAACUUUGGUUGUCAGGAACAGCACGCAGUGAGCCUCGCCCUCGCCGUGCCGUCCCGGGCCUCGUGUGCAGAGCACCGUGUGUAGCAGCAGAACGACCAGGGCCUCGGCGGUGACAGCACAGAAGGUAGCGGAGCGUCGGUCUCCGUCCAGGUGGCAUCGGGCUGUACAUCCAGAUCAUCGAGACCUUCGAGACCGUCCAGACCUUUCAGAAUGACUUCGUGACAUCGGGGUGCAGACCAGCAGACCAGUCCUAGGCAGGGCAGACGCACAGUGCGCCGCUAAGCCGAGACCCAGCAGCAGCCGCCCAGAUGGCAGCGGAGCACCGAAGCUGCCGGUCCUCGCCGAGGCCACCCCGAGUGACGGACGAGUGGCGACGACGACCGACCCCCCACGCUCGACGCCGUCAACGACGCUGUUGGGGUGCUCGAGGUCCGGCGCCCGACGACGUCCCCAGUCGAGAGACGCGUGAGAUUUGAGAAGCUCCUGGCUUUAGGUACUGUCUUGAAUCUUUCUCCAGCUGCAGUGAUGUUUUUUGCGCCUUGCAAUUCCACAACAGCAACGCUCUUCUACUUUUGAUGAUACGCUUUGUCUGACUUGAAGCUACUCACUUUACGUGUGGAUAGGCCAACAGCAGGUGGCAGUCUCCAUGUAUUUGCUUCCCUCAACGCGCACUUCUCCAUAUCUGAUCAUCUCAUCUUUGAAUUAAUGUAAGUGCUUUCAUCAUACCUGUAGCGUCUUUGUCUUGUUCCUUCGUAAUGUCAUGGUUCUCUUGCCUCACGAUGGCCAUUCAAGUUUUUCUUUGGAC